rnacentral:rRNA from 1 species
CCUACGGGUGGCAGCAGUGGGGAAUAUUGGACAAUGGGGGGAACCCUGAUCCAGCCAUGCCGCGUGUGUGAAGAAGGCCCUCGGGUUGUAAAGCACUUUCAGUGAGGAAGAACGCCUGGUGGUUAAUACCCAUCAGGAAAGACAUCACUCACAGAAGAAGCACCGGCUAACUCCGUGCCAGCAGCCGCGGUAAUACGGAUGGUGCGAGCGUUAAUCGGAAUUACUGGGCGUAAAGCGCGCGUAGGUGGCUUGAUAAGCCGGUUGUGAAAGCCCCGGGCUCAACCUGGGAACGGCAUCCGGAACUGUCAAGCUAGAGUGCAGGAGAGGAAGGUAGAAUUCCCGGUGUAGCGGUGAAAUGCGUAGAGAUCGGGAGGAAUACCAGUGGCGAAGGCGGCCUUCUGGACUGACACUGACACUGAGGUGCGAAAGCGUGGGUAGCAAACAGGAUUAGAUACCCGGGUAGUC